GCUGCUAUCUGAGAAUGUUCUUCCUAUGCUAGAGGGUGGAGCACAAGAACUGGCAGAAAUUCAUGAUGCCGCAGGAAACUUAGACAUGACAAGCAUGAUUCCACUGACGGCAGCCUGUCACAUAGCCAAGCCCAACAUCAGGGAUGUAUUAUUAUCUUACUGGAGAGCAAUGCUUUGUACCGUGCGUUUUUCACUUAACAACAUGGCCCAGAGAUCUACACACUUCUUAAAUACCUACAAGAUACUUCAUCUGGUGGAUAUCCUGUGGCUUAUUUAACCAUCCUUCAAAUGAUGGACAUUUGGGCCGUUUCCAGUCUUUUACAAUGUCGAACAAUGUUGAGAUGAAUAACCUCGCCCAUAUGUCAUUUCCUAUGUGCCCAGGUGUAUAGUAGGAUAAAAGCUAAGGCACCCUAAGAAAAAGAUCCAGAUGUGUAAUGACUUAAGAUUAUUUCCCUUAGGUAAUGCUCCUAAGGUAGUAGGGGGUAUGGGGAGUCCAGUAUGAUGAUGGGUUUUUUCCUGGGACCAUUCAAGCUUAUCUAGGUCCAUUUGGGUGGCUGUAACAUGCUACCAUAGACUGGGUGGCUUGAAAAACAAAGACUUAUUUCUCACAGUUCUAACGGCUGAGAAGUUCAAGAUCAGGCACAGGCAGAUUCAUUGUUUGGUGAGAACCCAUUUCCUGGUUCAUAGACAGCUGUUGUCUCGUGUGUGGCAGAGGUGGCAAGAGUGCUCUCCGGGUCCCCUUUUGUAAUAGCACUAGUUCCAUUCAUGAAGGUUCCACCCUUCUGACCUAAUCACCCCUCAGUUACUGACCUCAUAAUACUAUCCUACCUUAUGAUACCAUCACAUUGGAGGUUAGGAUUUCAACAUAUAGAUUUUGAAGGGACACAAAUGGUGCAUAACAGUUGGCUAGGUUCCUUCCAUCUCGUUCCCUGACUUUUCUCAAGAUCUUAGUCUACAUGAUUGAAACCGGAUCAUGGACACAUCCUUCUUUCAGGUCACAGAAGGAAAAGAGUGGUCAUGGAGAAACACACGCCCAACAUGUGAGGAUCAAGAGCAAGAAGUGGUAAAUGUCUCCUCCCAUCAUGUUCCACUGGCCAAGAAUUAGUGACAUAGCUACCGCUAGGUGCAAAAGAGGAUGGGAAAUGUAAUGUCAGGCUGGGCAGCCGUGUGCCAGCCACAAUGCUGUCAUCAGGAUAGCUGGCAAGAAUAGACAUAUCUGCAAGGUAAAUUUCUAGGAAGAGAGUGGCUGAGUCAAAGAAUAAAUAUAUUUGCAAUUUUUGGAAGGUAGUACUAAGUUGUUACUCCAACUAAAUGUUGAAUCAUUUAGUAUGCCCACCAGUAUUGUGGGAAAUUCUCUCUUGUCUUCCCAGGCAUGACAAAAGAGUGUGUGGUCAAACUUGGGUUUUGCUUUUUUUUUUUUAACCAAUUUAAAUAUAAAAGAUGGUUUAGUUUUGAUUGAAUUUAUCUUAUUUUGAGUGAGAUUAAGAAUCAUUUCAUAUGUUUAAGUGUGAUUUGUAUUUCCUUUUUGAAGAAUUAUUGGUUUUGAUCUCUUACCUAUUUUUUCUUUUGGGUUGUUAGUUAUUUUUCUGUGAUAGGAUUUGCAAACAUUCCCACCCCCAGCCCCCACUUGUCAUUUGUCCUCUGACUUUUCAUAGGAUUGUGUGUAUGUGUUAUCUUUUUAUCAUGAUCAGAACCCCCCCCCCGCCCCCUCUCCCCUGACUCUAGUGUCUGAAGUCAUUUUUGAUUAUCACAACCAGGGUUGCUGUUAUAUAUCCUACAAUAANCAGGAAAGAAUCCAGCAAGAAGGAAUUAUCCAGCCCAAAAUGUUAAUAGUGCUGAGGUGGAGAAACCUUGGCUUAAAGGAAUCAGCUCAUGUUUUUCGGUGGUAAUUUAGAACAUUUCAUGUUUUACUUUUAAAUCUUUGAUUCAUUUUGAAUUCAUCCUGGUCAACUGUAUAAAUUAUGUGUAGAAGUUUAUCUUUUCCAGAUGAAUUCUCAUCCAUUAUUACUCCAUGUUAUCUAUUGUUAUGUAUCAAAAUGCCCAAAAUUUACCAGAUUGAAACACAAAUGUUACAUAGUUUCUGAGUGUCAAUCAGAAAUAUAAGAGUGACUUUCCUGAGUGGCUCUGGCUCCAGUUUGCUCAUAAAGUUAGAGUUAAGCUAUUGGAGAGGAAUGCUGUCAUUUGGAAGCUCAAAGAUUUGCUUCCAAGAUCAUUCCCUUGGUUGUUGGCAGGCUUUAGUUUCUCAAUGGCUGUGGUUGGAGGCCCCUGCUCCUCACCAUGUGGUCCUCUCUGUAGGGUAUGUGAGUGUCCUCAUGAUAUGGCAUCUGGCUUCCCCAGAGUGAUUUAAGACAGAAAAAGAGCACCCAAGACAAACUCUGGAGGUUUUUCAUUUUAUUUUUUAAUAGCAAAAUCUUCAAAGUUACUUGCGAUUGCUUAGGCAAAUUUCUCUUCAUUAGAAGUGAGUGAUUCAGACCAACCCUCCGUCAAGGGCAGGAAAGUUAAAACUCCAGUUCUUGAAAGGAAGAGUAUCAAUUUGUGGACAUAUUUUUAAACACACCAUACUUUGCUUAUUUAGUAUGCCUCCUUUAUCAUAUACUUAAUUGCCAUGGGGAUUGGGCUAAUUUCUAUAAUCAAUGUGCAUUGCUUCUGACAAAUUUUUACAAGAUAAUUUUAAAAAUCAUGCCUCUGUCUGUGAUUUGUAUUAUGGGACUUGUUCAUAUUCACAAAUUAUUUUAUGUACUUCUACUAGCCUGGUGGCUUAAAUGAGAUUUUGGAUGUGGGAAAAUGCUUUGCAGACUCUAAGGAAGCAAGCUACCAAAUGUUUUAUGAUUAUUAUUUUUGUAUGGAGAUAUAGCUAAAAACCCUCUAUAUCAUAUUUCCCAUUUGAUUUGUUGCAAUUGGUCCUUGGAUCCAAGUUGGAAUGUAGGUUGUGGGCCAGUUGUGGAAUUUUCCAUCAUAACAUUUCCUGUGGAUACAAACUGAACUGAGACCCAACCCAGGAAACAAACAUACAAUAUGUCAGGUAGUUGAUAAUCACUGAGUCUUAUCUGCCACUUCUGGGGGUGUUGGUUUAUCUUUUAUGUUGCUUUUUGGCAAUUCCAGUUAUUUCAGGUGUGUAUAAAGAUAUGUGGCUGUGUUUGGAUAUGAAGAGAGGAACGUGGGACCCUCACAUGAUAAAACAGUAGCAGGGCUUGUUGAGGCUCUGUUGUGUGAUCUGAGAUGUGCUGUAAUGAGCCACACCAUCCAUGUUUCUCUGGUAAACUUCUACCUGUAGAGUCCUUCCUUGGUUCUUGCAGAACUACUUCUUCUUUUUUUUUAAUUGCAUAGGUCUUUUUAGAUAUAAGUAAUCCUGAGGCAGGUAAUAUUUCAAUCCCACUGAUAACUGAAGCUCAGUUGUAGGGGAGAAGCAAGACAAAAGAACAGAUAAAAACUUAAGAGAUGGGCAAGGAACCAAGCAAGGAGGAAACAGAGAUUGAGACAGAAAGAGAGGCUUUUUCUGUCAUAGACAUUCAUUGUAAUUAUUCACAUAGUUGGCUUUUUACAAUAUGAAAUUUCCAAUUGGCAGUCCAUGUCCUGGAUCCAACCCACAGACAUGCUUUGUGUGACCAAAAAUAUGUUUUUUAAAUAUUUGGGGAUUUUCUUAAAAAUUGCUGGCUUUCCUUGAAAGAACUUGACUGUCUCAUAAUGCUGGACCUGCCUGACAGCAGUCACCCAGCCUGUGACCUUUAACCUUUAGCUGGGGUGAGAACCAUCCAGUCUCCACCAGUACUUUAUGCCUCCCCAUUAGCAAGCUCACAUAGUAGUUACUAUUUGUCAUCUUACAUGCACUGUGGUUAUUCAUGUAGUGGGAAAAUUUGUGUGUGUGUGUGUGUGUGUGUGUGUGUGUGUGUGUGUGUACUUAAGAGGCUAAUAAAAGUGAGACAGAAAAGACAGACUGAAAGGACCACAUGUUUUAACAAAAUGACUGGCAGCUUCAGGGUGGGCAUCUGCCCAGUGGGCAUGUGAGUGUGCCUCUGCCAUCCCAAGAUUCACCAGUGUUAGAGCUGUCUGAUAGCCUGUGUGCCUGUGUGUUCCUCUUUCAACAUCAUGGGCUGCUGACUGUGGUAGUAGUUUCUUCAGUGGCUGAUGGCCUGCACCGCCUUUCCUUGGAAUGCUUAUCAUGCUGCACCUUGCUGCUCUCAGGAAGAUCCAUACAUGAGAUUGUGUUUAAAUGGUAGUGACAGUUUGUACCAAAUGAGCUACAUUCUCCCUUGGUCCAUUGCAGCUGACCCAUCAAAGGAGACAGCCCUUGGAGUACAGAGAGAGGUUUUCCACGUGCUGUUCUUGGUAGCAUAUAGCUCCAGGGGCCUCAUCCAAUUCAGAUGCCAACACUGGACCCUUUAUGUCCACACCUCUUUAUAAGUUUCCUAGCCCCGACUUUUUUAUUAAGGAUGCUCUGGGAGACAAGGGUUCGGAAAUGUAUUUGUAGGAACUUCUUUAGCAGAGCACGUCCUGAAGCACAUUUAUAGCAAUACCUACCCCCUUGGCAGAGGACUCAAAAGAGUGGUUGCCCUCCCUCUAGUCCUGCUCAGCUGCCAGGGAGGGACACAAUUAGGAAAUGACCUGCUCAAGUUAGAGAAUGACCAAUAACUCCCUGAGGGACAGCAAAGGCAUCCCAGGUUUUUCAUGUGUGAAGAAGGAGGCUCACUUCUCUAUUUGCCUGCCCAGAAUCUGACCCACCGUUCCUGGGUUUGAGCAUGUCAAGAUUUCCACAUAGCCUCAGUUUUUCAACAAAAGCACAUAUGUGCUGUUUAUGUGGCUACUUAUGGCUUCUCUACCCUGAGUAGAAGAUAGAGAUCAGGAUAGUAACAACAACAACAAAAAUCAUGAGUGAGAACAGUUAAAAUAAUCCUAAAGGUUAUUUAAGCCACACAUGACAGAGAUGAUGCUGGAGGCAGUUUCUGUUUUGCGUUCUAUUUUCUUUUUGUUUUUAUCUUCUACAUCCUCUAGGAUUCAGCUGCAUGUUAUAGAAACUCAAUAACAUCAGCUUUACCAAAUAGAAAUUUAUUUUUCUCCUUAGCGAGAGGUCUCAUCAAUACCCAAUGCCCUGUCUUUCUGCUCUCCUAGCUUUAGCAUUAGCAUGCAGCUUUCAUUCUUUUUUUUUUUUUUUUUAAUUUCAUUUUAUGGCUGCACCUGGGUAUAUGGAAGUUCCUGGGCCAGGGGUCAAAUUGGAGCUGCAGCUGUGGCCUACAGUGCAGCAUGUGGUGAUACUGGAUCCUUAACCCAGUAAGUGAGGCCAGGGAUCGAACAUACAUCCUCUUAGAGACAAUGUCAGGUCCUAACCUGCUGAGCCACAACAGGAACUCCCAGCUUUCAUUCUUGUGCUUGUUGCCUCAUGGUCACAAGAAGGCUGCUCCAUCUUCAGCCUUCUUUCUGCAUUCUAGGCAAGAAGAAAAAGCAAGAAGGAAAAAGUAAAGGCAGUACUUGUACUGGUAAAGCAAAAAGUUUCCCAGAAAUCCCUAAAGAAGUUUUCUUACACGUCACCGGUCAUGGCUAUGUCGGUAGAGCCAUCCCUCAGAAAAAGGAAAUCUGACAGAGUAUUUUAACUAAGUGCAUUUCUGCCCUCCUUUCUCCCAUCACCACCUUUGUUAUUUAAAUAAGGAAGGAAUAAGAGGAUAAUGGACAUGCAACUAGCAGUAUCUUGCCAACUCUUAUUAAUUUCAGACAAGCAUAUUAACAUAUUUUGGAAAUAAUUUUCCCAUUUUUCUUCACUCAAUUUCCUACUAUCUAAUGCCUCCUUUGAAAGAGGAGAAUCAGUGCUCCGUGGAGGUAUUCAAACAGAGGAUUUCAGGUGCUUACAACAGUGUGGGAGGUCUAAUAGCUAAGUCUGAAACACUUGGGGAUCUGGGCAUUCCCUGAGCCUCAUGGCAGCAUCCAUACAGAUGAACGUGGAGUAAAGCUGUGUAAAUGUUGUCCACCAGGCACUCUUCUCAGCCUAUGAAAAAUCUUGAAUUUUCUCUGUGCUAAUUUCCCAGUUUUCAUUCUCCCAGAUGUUUCUCUCACCUUCUCUGCAGAUCAGUCAAAGGCUGGGUUGUAUUUUUUUAUUAUUAUUAUUAGUAUUGGACUUUGGGAUAUAGCCUGCCACAGUGUGCAAACACAAGCAAAGCAAAUACAUGACAACAUGAAUAAAUUCAUUUAAAGUAAACUUCAGUUUUAUAAUUACUUUCUUGGCUAUUCAGUGCAGUUUCUUCUCAGGCAGCACAAACAGUCAUGACUGUUUGUCAUUAUUGCUCAUGCCAUUAAUAUUAACAAAAAUAGCAUUUGUCGAAGACCUUCAGCAUGUCAUAGCUCUGUAACGAACAGAGCUGGGACCCUGAUGAUAGGCUUCUACUCGAAAACAAAUGUGCAGGAGUUCGCAUUGUGGCUCAGCUGGUUAAGAACCCAACAUGGUGUCUGUGAGGAUGGAGGUUUGAUCCCUGGCCUUGCUCAGUGGGUUAAGGAUCCAGGGUUGCUGUGGCUGUGGCAUAGGCAAGCAGCUGCAACUCCAAUUCAACCCUUAACCGGGGAAUCUUCAUAUGCCACAGGCAUGGCCCCAAAAAAGAAAAA
rnacentral:lncRNA from 1 species